rnacentral:lncRNA from 1 species
AUUGCGAGUGUUUACCACUUUAUUGUGUAAAUCAAUGUGGCAAGAAAAUUUUGCGUAAAGAGAUGUCUUCCCAUAUCACUGACAGGUGCGCUAAUACAAUUGUUCCUUGUGAAUACUUAAACAUUGGAUGCAAUUUUAAGGGAAUGAGAAAAGAACAAGACGAUCAUGCCAACUCUUCAAUGCAAAACCAUUUUUCAAUGGCAAUAUCAAAAGUGGUUGCAAAUGAGAAAGAAAUUACCAUUCUUAAAAAUGAAAUAGUAA